AUUGAACGCUGGCGGCAGGCCUAACACAUGCAAGUCGAGCGGAUGAAGGGAGCUUGCUCCUGGAUUCAGCGGCGGACGGGUGAGUAAUGCCUAGGAAUCUGCCUGGUAGUGGGGGAUAACGUCCGGAAGCGGGCGCUAAUACCGCAUACGUCCUGAGGGAGAAAGUGGGGGAUCUUCGGACCUCACGCUAUCAGAUGAGCCUAGGUCGGAUUAGCUAGUUGGUGGGGUAAACGCCUACCAAGGCGACGAUCCGUAACUGGUCUGAGAGGAUGAUCAGUCACACUGGAACUGAGACACGGUCCAGACUCCUACGGGAGGCAGCAGUGGGGAAUAUUGGACAAUGGGCGAAAGCCUGAUCCAGCCAUGCCGCGUGUGUGAAGAAGGUCUUCGGAUUGUAAAGCACUUUAAGUUGGGAGGAAGGGCAGUAAGUUAAUACCUUGCUGUUUUGACGUUACCAACAGAAUAAGCACCGGCUAACUUCGUG
rnacentral:rRNA from 1 species